UAGUGUGAAACUAGUAUACAGCGUGCUGCGUUAUGUAUUCUAAGGACUUGACUGUGGUUACAGCAGAAUUGUACGAAGUGCCCACCCUCCCAAAGUGAAUGAAGCCAGCCAGAUUACAAGGCAGGAAUUACAGAAGAAAUCGAUGGAAAUAAAGAAAAAUAAAGUUUUCCUGGCCUGAAUGAUGCUUCCAAGGCACAUGGACAAUUUUCAAGUUACAGGAUUGAAGAAUGAAGCUCCAUCAAAAUAAUCAUAAAUAUCACAAAAUAAUCCCAGAAUUUUUCAAAGAAAAUCAAAAUAAUUGUGGUCCAUGUAAAUAAGUUUCUUCCAUGUUGUUACUAAUGUAUAUUUCAAAAUGACGUAGAACCAGCACAACACAAUGUCUCAUUCUAAACUAUUGAAUAUUUUUGUUAACAUGAAGUCAUUUUCUUUAUAAAAUAAGUGACGGGUUCAUCUCAUCAUCUUGCAGUAAAACAGCUCCUAUUCCAAUGUUGAAUGAAACAACGCCAUCAAGCAGUCAAUGGCUCUGCAUAGUUCAGUGUGGCUAAAUUUGUUCUGUUGUCAGUGACACUUUGACACUUUUCUAUCCAUUCAAAUUUUCUGCCUUUUUUGAAUAUAUUUUUAACAAGGUAAUGACAGUGAUGAAGAUCAGAACAAACAUGCUAUGUAGUACAUUCAUGCCAGUAUUAUAUAAAUUUGUCACUUUUCAUCCCAAGCAUGAGAAAAUCCAUAAAUAGCCUGUACAAUUGUUUCUUCAGGUGCUGCUUUGACUUGGACUACUCCUUCUCCUAUAUCCUAAUUUUCCAAAAGCUAGCAUUCUGGUAGAUGUUUUGAUUAUUUUCUAAAUCCCUGUGAUAUUUUAAUCAUCUUUGAAUAUGCACUCCAGUCUAUUUGCAUUACUGUUGUUUCACCAUUUCACCAUCUAAAUGUCACUAAUUUUACUUCCUACAUUGAAAAUGGACAACUCUACAACUGCACGUGGGAUUUAGGAGUCUUUCUUUGUGCGAAAUGGUGGUCAUGUUUGGCUUUCAAAUAUUACCCUUCAGAUUAGUUAAUUGCCAAUAAUAUAUUUUGAGAUGCUUCUGAGUGACAUGCUAAAAUUAUUUUAAUUUCAAAAGUGGCACCAGGGACCCACGUUCAGCCUAGCUGAAGAAGUAAAGGAAUUCUAACAAUAUUAAAAUGAAUAGUUUAAUAAUAUCCCUGUGAUACAUUUUUAGGGUGGAAUUCUGCUCAAGUUUGUUUUCCAAAUGUUUUGUAUGACAUCUGCACACUGUAUAUCUUGUCUUAGAUGCUGUAACUAAAUUAUAGCCAUUUAUUACUGAAUAGA